AGCCGAGGGAGAUCGUGUGUCGGCCAUCUCGCGUCGCCACGAAAACACAACAGUCGUUCGUCAUGCCUUGGAUAUAACAACAAAUCCUCCACGGCACCCGCUUUAUAUAACGCAAGAAGGCAGCUGCAAGGACACGAGGAUGUGAAAGAGCCAGUGCAGCGCGACUUCACGUAGUGCAGAGGAGCCAAUGCCAAAAAAUCAAAAUACAUUGGCAUGUUAUUUGGACAAGAAAACUAGGACAACCCAGGACGUGCAUUUCUCAGCACCCAGUCAACUGCCAAAAGUGACUCAAACACAGGCCACCAGUGGAACUCGGCUGUACCACUGCAGUGCUGCGGAAAUUGCCUUCACCAGCGGCUUUGCAACAGCUGUUUCGCAGCAUGUCGGAGACAAUGCCUACGAAAUUAUUGGCCCUGAUCAUGAGAGCCCUCAAGGGGCAAACAACAUCUCUGUUGCAGAAGUGAGCCCGA